rnacentral:lncRNA from 1 species
UGUAGCUAGGUACUGAAUUAAUCAGUGACCUGAUGCUCAUAUGUACUGAAAAAAUUUAUUUUAAGAAUGUGAAAAUGUGAAUUAAAUAAUAUAUUAUCCUUAAAUCAUAUCUAAAAUUGUUGGUUAAGAUAGUGACAACAAAAGUCAAUGCAUUUAAAAUCAGUUACAUUUAGAUUGUUGCAUAGUAAAUCAUAAUUUUAAAUACACUAUUUUCAAUCAGAGGAUUCAACUGAGAUAGUAGGUAAUAAAUGAGCUUCAAAUAGUGCAUAUAAGUUGCCGCUAGCCAUAGCCACAUCAAUUUCAAAAUUUCCCUGAGAGGAAUAAAACUCAGACACUACACAUUCAUCUAUCAAUCGACCAAAUGCCUGGUCCUUGUUUCAAGGCUAUUGAAUAUUCAUGCAGCUGUGACUUAGCACUCUUACAAAGUCAGCAGCUAUUUCAGAGAAAAGCAAGAAAACAUGAUGAGAAACUUACCACAACGUCUAUCACAAUUCAGAUAGUUAAUUAAGAAAAAAAGUCAUGUACUCUAUAAAGUACAUUCAGUUUUGUUAAGAUCCAUUCAAAUAUUCAACUGAUUCCCCUAGAACUGAAAUGGACAAAUAAUUAUACUUGAUCCUAUAUGCAUUUUAACUUUUGUCCUGAAGUAACAAAAAAUGAAACAAAAUCAGUUAAAAGUAUUUUUGGCAAUCAUCAAUUUCCUAAUAUGUGUAAAAUAAUGUUGCACUGUUGGAUAAAGUGUUCAGUUGUCAGAAAAAAAAUACUGGCCCGAUUUAAUGAAAUGAUUAUUAGAAUUCCUUAAAAGUUAUUUGUAUAGUCUUUUCCUUUGUAAUAAAUUCGUAAGUAUUACAUGACUACAUAAAUUAACAGCUCCUUAUCGGCUUUUAAAAGUUGUUUUUUUUUCUUUUGGUUCAUCAUAAAAAAAACAAAAACAAACAAACAAACAAAACAGAAGAAACAAUAAAAUCAACCAACCAACCAAAAAUCUAUGUCAAUUUUGCUCUCUUUUUCAUGGAGUUUGAAUUACUGAUAAAGAGAUUCUCAUAAUUUUAAAUAUUAAUAUAAACCUGUACCCAGGUAUUUAAAUAGUAAUCUACAUUAUUCUAGACCUUAUUUUAAGGGUAUUCAGGCCUGAGCCGGUUAAUCUUGGUUUGUUCCCCUCAUUAGAUUUGCGGUCUGCCAUUCUCUGCUCUGCUUUGUACCCUAUGAACUGCACCAUCUAAAGUUCCUUGGCCCCUAGCUCAUAUUAGCAGCAACCAGAGUCAGGAGGCUCCAACAGGAGUUUGAAGUGGUGGGGUCUGAGGGAGUUCUUAGUCCUCUGCCUGCCUGCCUCAGUGCCUUGACUCUAAUGACACCUACCCUCCCCCAACCCUGCCCUUUAGGACCCUGAGCUCUCUUCAAGCUCAGAUACCAUAGUUUUCUCCACUUGCUUCUUCAGGCAUUGGGUAGCUGACAACUUCCCACUGUUGCUUUUCCUUGGGCACUUCACCCUUAACUCUGACCAUACCUCUGUAAAAGGUCCUUAUCCUUAAACGGCUAUUUACAGACGUAUGGUCAGAGUUAAGUCACCCUCUAAGGGUUUCCUCAGGUAAACCCUUGGAGGGUGUCAUCUGUGUCUUGGUGGAACUCCAAUACAAGGCAUUUUUGGAAGAAAUCUAUAAUCUGACAGAGUAAAAUAAGAAAUGAUUAGGACAAUGGGGAAUCAUUAAUGCAAGGAUUAAAUAAUGCCAGAGAAAAUGUUAGACUUCAGAAAUCCAUUCCAAUCAAGUCCUGUGGUCUGUUGUUAAAGGUGCGUUCUAAAUUUGAUUCUAAGCUUUCAGAAACAAGAGGUUCAUUUCCUGUGAAGUCAACAAAGCUUAAGCUUCAGGACCUUUCCCUUGCAGAGGACUCCCAAGGCCCUGGGAGGGGACCUAAUAAAUAUGUUUACAUGAUAAUUCAUUUUUGUAAAAUUUACACAAAUGAGAUAUUUCAGUUAUAAUUAAUAAAGACCAUUGUCUCUUUCCAAGAAAACGUUAUCCCUGUUACAUUCUCCCCUCCUACUGAGUGGCUAAACAAUGGCCGUGGGUAAUUUGAGAUCCAGUUGUGGUGAAGGUGAGUUUUGGAUUCUUUAUAUUUGGGUUUUGUAGAAUCUUCUCUAGAUGCUUGAUGUUUGGGCAAAUAUCAAGUAUUCAACUCAACUAAGUUUAGGUUGGUGGAGGGGAAAUUAUAAUAUCUUAGAAUAUAGAAUAUUUAAGUUAAAAGAGAAAAUAAAAUCUUUAAACAUUAGGCUGAAACUAAUGUUAAAUUUAUCGAUCAUGGCAUAUGUCAGAGUGAAAAGAACAGGGGACUCAGAACCAAGUCACCUGCAUGCUAAUUAAGCUUCAGCACUUUUGUGGCAGUGGGCAAGACACUUGACCUCAAUUUUAUUAUCUGCAGAAUGAUGGGGUUGGCAUUGUGUUUCUUAGGUUCUUUCUCCAUCUUAAGCCAACCAUGACAACUUGAUCUUAUAAACAGUGCCUGGAUGUAAAGAGCUCCAGCUUCCAUGACUUAAUUUUUUUGGACAGGUUACUCAAUCUCCUUUUGACUCAAUUUCCUCAAGGGCCACAUAGAGAUAACAUUAUAUUUCUCUCUUUCUGAAUGUGUUUGGCAGGAAUGGUGAAAAAUUAUAUUGUUCUUCUACUAAAACCUAGUGUACCUUAGUGACUAAUGUACCACAGAAAACUCAUUUUAUGCAUACUAACACUGGAGAAAAAUAAUCUUGGGAACUUGCAGGUAUUUUUCACAUGAAAACAAAGUAUAUUAAAGUACAUUUUCAUUCUCAUAGCACUUUCUUUUUUUCCCUCACAGAUCUUAUCAGAAUUGUUAGUUGUACAUUUAUCUGUGUGAGUUACAUUUCUGUUUUUUUCCUCUGAAAGGUGACGCUCCUAGUGAAUGGUACAUAAUAAAUACACAGUAAGUGUUUGUUGAUUAUUCAUGAAUGAAUGAGUGAAUGAAUGAAUGCUGGCUAAUUAUGUGCUUAAUUCAUGUAAGGCAAUAGAAACAAGUAUGGCCACAAUUUUUUUUAUUUGAAAAGAAGAUACCUAGCUCAUUUCCAAAAUUUAGACACAAACAUACAUGGCAAAAUAUGCAUCGCAUAUACCUGAAAACUGAUACCUUAGCCUUCUUGGUGCCUCAAACCAGAUCCUGUUCAGACAUGUUAUAAUAAAUUAUUAUAAGCUUAUUUUGGUGCAAAAACAUUGCAAAUCCAUGCAUAGUUUUUUCAUAACAUAUAUUUUCUAUGAACUUUUUGAAGAUCAUGUAUAUAAAAUAUGAGCAUGUGUGUACAUUUAUAUAUAUUAAAAAUAUAUUUAGGCUUUGUUAGAAAUUCUACCACAUGUAUAUAGAUAUUUUCUCUAUAUAUGAGAAAAAAUAUGAUAUAUAUCAUAAAUGUAUAUAUCCAUAUAUGAUACAUAGAAGAUCCAUAUACAUAUGGCAAAAUGUGUGUGUAAAUAAAAAUAUAUAUCCCAAAACUACUUAAAGUCACUGAAUGCACGUUUUUCAAAAAGCAUAUUUUUAAAAAUCACUUUAAAAUUCAUAUAAUAGCUUUUUAGAUUGUCAGGUUAUACCUUCUUGAGAACUAGAAUCUUUUUAAUGAGACAAUAUAUUAUCUGAAAUCACUGAUGCCUUAUGAAAAGUUAAUGUUGACAAUGCCCCAAAGAAAUUAGCAGCUUACAAACAAAUGACUUAUUUUAAGAAAGGAGAAGAUGAUGUGAUGUUCAAAAUGAAACCAACCACAUUGAUUUGUGAGGAAAAAUUAAUCUUGUUCGUGCCCUAAAUGAGAAAGACUGACAAUUGACAGCACCAACAACAGCCAGUAUCUUAGAUAUCUCAG